rnacentral:rRNA from 1 species
AACGAACGCUGGCGGCAUGCCUAACACAUGCAAGUCGAACGAGACCUUCGGGUCUAGUGGCGCACGGGUGCGUAACGCGUGGGAACCUGCCCUUAGGUUCGGAAUAACUCCCCGAAAGGGGUGCUAAUACCGGAUAAUGUCUUCGGACCAAAGAUUUAUCGCCUUUGGAUGGGCCCGCGUUGGAUUAGCUAGUUGGUAGGGUAAAAGCCUACCAAGGCGACGAUCCAUAGCUGGUCUGAGAGGAUGAUCAGCCACACUGGGACUGAGACACGGCCCAGACCCCUACGGGAGGGAGCAGUGGGGAAUAUUGGAAAAUGGGAGAAAGCCUGAUCCAGCAAUGCCGGGUGGGGGAUGAAGGCCUUGGGGUUGUAAAGCUCUUUUACCCGGGAUGAUAAUGACAGUACCGGGAGAAUAAGCCCCGGCUAACCCCGU